CACAGCCAAAGAAAACUGGUCCAAUGCAUACUUCAGGGGGAAAAAAUAUGGUGAGAUGUGCUCUAAUAUUGCAGAAUCCUUCAAUUCUUGGAUUUUGGAUGAACGCAAGAUGCCAACUUACCAAAUGAUUGAUAACAUACGUGUGAAGUUGAUGGAGAUGAGUUCUAAUAGGCAACGUGAAGCUGAAAGAUGGACCUCACCAAUAUGCCCAACAAUGGAUGAUGAAAUGAUGAAAAUGGUUGAAGUUGGGAGACAUUGGCAAAGAGGCCCCCAGAAGUUUGUGAUAGAACCCCCAUUGACAAAGAGCCCCCAGGUAGACCAAAAGUUAAAAGACUAAAAUCUACUGGGGAAGAAACACGCCCCAACAAGUGCAGUAGGUGUGGUGAUGCUACACGCCACAACCGGAAAACUUGCAAUGCCCCUAUUUGACAUACAUCUCCAUUGCCAUUUGGAUUUUUUUUUUUCAAAUAUAUGAACACAUGUUUUUUUUUAUCAAUGUAAUAAAAUGAUGCCUUCGACUUUUUAGUUUA